GGGCGGUUAGCUCAGCGGUAGAGCACUCGCCUUACAAGCGAGGGGUCACUGGUUCGAACCCAGUACCGCCCACCC
rnacentral:tRNA from 1 species